UACGAAGGGGGCUAGCGUUGCUCGGAAUCACUGGGCGUAAAGGGCGCGUAGGCGGCCGAUCAAGUCGGGGGUGAAAGCCUGUGGCUCAACCACAGAAUUGCCUUCGAUACUGUUUGGCUUGAGACCGGAAGAGGUGAGUGGAACUGCGAGUGUAGAGGUGAAAUGCGCAGAUAUCAGGAAGAACACCCGUGGCGAAAGCGGCUCUCUGGAACGGUACUGACGCUGAGACGCGAAAGCGUGGGGAGCGAACAGG
rnacentral:rRNA from 1 species